AUUGAACGCUGGCGGCAGGCUUAACACAUGCAAGUCGAGCGGGGUGAUGGUGCUUGCACUAUCACUUAGCGGCGGACGGGUGAGUAAUGCUUAGGAAUCUGCCUAUUAGUGGGGGACAACAUCUCGAAAGGGAUGCUAAUACCGCAUACGUCCUACGGGAGAAAGCAGGGGAUCACUUGUGACCUUGCGCUAAUAGAUGAGCCUAAGUUGGAUUAGCUAGUUGGUGGGGUAAAGGCCUACCAAGGCGACGAUCUGUAGCGGGUCUGAGAGGAGUAUCCGCCACACUGGGACUGAGACACCGCCCAGACUCCUACGGGAGGCAGCAGUUGGGAAUAUUGGACAAUGGGGGGAACCCUGAGCCAGCCAUGCCGCGUGUGUGAAGAAGGCCUUAUGGUUGUAAAGCACUUUAAGCGAGGAGGAGGCUCUUUUGGUUAAUACCCAAGAUGAGUGGACGUUACUCGCAGAAUAAGCACCGGCUAACUCUGUGCCAGCCGCCGCCGUAA
rnacentral:rRNA from 1 species